CUGUUGUCAUUUUCAUCAUCUGCAUCAUAUUCAACGCACUUGCUGGACCGGGAACUGGUCCUUUUCGGAACAACACUGGAGCGAUAUCAGAUAAAUACAAUACAGAAAUCACUCCCUCGGGAUGGACCUUCUCAAUCUGGGGUGUCAUCUACACUUGGCUGUCACUCAUGCAUGUUUACAUCCUCACCACUACCUGCAGGAGGACUGUUUAUGGUCCAAUGUACUGCAGUCCUGCUGUGUUGCCAUAUGGAUUCUUCAUAACCUGGAUUGUAAACAUGCUGCUAAAUAUAAUCUGGCUUCUUCUGUGGGACAGACAGUGAUGAUUGCUGCAUUCAUUAUCCUUGCCUUGAUUGCCUUCACAAACUAUUUGCUGAUAAUCUUCUCCUGUCAUGGACUCAAACAAUAUGGAGCCUGGUUAAACAAAUAUCACAAAGUAGACCUCUGGUGCAUACGGAUAUUGGUUCAGAAUGGCAUUGCAACAUACACAACAUGGACAACAAUUGCCACUCCCUUGAGUGGAAACAUGACCAAGAACUUUAAAUCUGCAGAUCCAAGCCGCAGCGGCAUUUACAUAGCUGUUUUACUGGGGUUGACUUGUACACUAUUUGCGAUCAAAGUGUUGCUGGUUAUAUGGAGGCACAUUAAACAUCCUCUCUACAAAGGCAUGAAUGUAGAGGAGGCGAUAUCACCAAUGGAAAUUGCUGAAA
rnacentral:lncRNA from 1 species